GGAGAGGUGACAGAGUGGUCGAUUGUGCGGCACUGGAAAUGCCGUGUACCUUCACCGGUACCGAGGGUUCGAAUCCCUCCCUCUCCG
rnacentral:tRNA from 1 species